rnacentral:tRNA from 1 species
GCCGCUUUAGUUAAAUGGAUAUAAUAAACCCCUCCUAAGGGUUAGUUGUGAGUUCGAUUCUCGCAAGCGGUGCCA